GACGAACGCUGGCGGCGUGCCUAAUACAUGCAAGUCGAGCGGACAGAAGGGAGCUUGCUCCCGGAAGUUAGCGGCGGACGGGUGAGUAACACGUGGGCAACCUACCCUGUAGAUCGGGAUAACAUCGAGAAAUCGGUGCUAAUACCGGAUAAUCAUUUGAAGUGCAUGCUUCGAAUGUAAAAGAUGGCUCCGGCUAUCACUACGGGAUGGGACCGCGGCGCACUAGCUAGUUGGUAAGGUAAGGGCUUACCAAGGCAACGAUGCGUAGCCGACCUGGGAGGGUGAUCGGCCACACUGGGACUGAGACACGGCCCAGGCUCCUACGGGAGGCAGCAGUAGGGAAUCUUCCGCAAUGGACGAAAGUCUGACGGAGCAACGCCGCGUGAGUGAUGAAGGUUUUCGGAUCGUAAAGCUCUGUUGUUAGGGAAGAACAAGUGCCGUUUGAAUAAGGCGGCACCUUGACGGUACCUAACCAGAAAGCCACGGCUAACUACGUGCCAGCCGCCGCCGUAAGAC
rnacentral:rRNA from 1 species